UGCUUGGCGACCAUAGCGCUUUGGACCCACCUGAUUCCAUGCCGAACUCAGAAGUGAAAUGAAGUAGCGCCGAUGGUAGUGUGGGGUUUCCCCAUGUGAGAGUAGGACAUCGCCAGGC
rnacentral:rRNA from 1 species